rnacentral:rRNA from 1 species
UACGAGAGGCCCAAACGUUAUUCGGAAUUACUGGGCUUAAAGAGUUCGUAGGCGGUAUGAAAAGUAGGGUGUGAAAGCCCUCGGCUCAACCGAGGAAUUGCGCUCUAAACUGUCGUACUCGAGGAACCUAGAGGUGAGCAGAACUGAUGGUGGAGCGGUGAAAUGCGUUGAUAUCGAUCAGGAAUACCGGAGGCGAAGGCGCUCUGGGGUUUCUGGACUGCUG